rfam:Gossypium arboreum cultivar AKA8401 contig_54313_1, whole genome shotgun sequence.
AGUCCAUGGUGAGGACACUUCCUUAACAUCGACUUCAAGUGCUCCUAUGCUUUGUACAAACACUAAACUUUGUAUUGUGUAAAAUUGAUGAUUUCUCAUUUGAGCUU